rnacentral:rRNA from 1 species
GACGUAGGGCGCGAGCGUUGUCCGGAUUUAUUGGGCGUAAAGAGCUCGUAGGCGGUUUGUCGCGUCUGCCGUGAAAGUCCGGGGCUCAACUCCGGAUCUGCGGUGGGUACGGGCAGACUAGAGUGAUGUAGGGGAGACUGGAAUUCCUGGUGUAGCGGUGAAAUGCGCAGAUAUCAGGAGGAACACCGGUGGCGAAGGCGGGUCUCUGGGCCGAUACUGACGUGGAGGAGCGAAAGCGUGGGGGAGCAAACAGG